UUUUCAGAGGUUUCGUGUUUUCCCAGAACUGGACUAAGUUUAACGAGCUUCUAUAACGUGUCAUAAUCUUAAUCCGGAAAGACUAUCGAAAAAAGGUUUACAAUUUGGAAGCCACGGCUAUAUUACAGGUUUAUUCGACUCACUCGUUGAUAAGCAGUUUUUGUCAUACGGCAAGGAAAAUGGCGACGGCGACGACGACGACGACCGUCUGACGAUGAAUGACGAAUUAAAAAUCAUAAAAGGCAUUUUUGCGCUGAUGGAACGAAACAAGCAACAACAGAAAAAAAUCCGGUCCCAAAAUUAUCGAGCCGAGAUAAAAUUGGAACUAAACGAAAUUGUGAUGGAUCUCCCCAACAACGACAACAACGACUAAGCGUAAUUUCCAACGUCCUCCGCCUUAGAUUGGCUGACAUUCCGGAACAUCCUACAGAUCAUUCCGGAAAAACGGGACCUAACCGGAUCAAUCGAAGGAGAAAGAUAUGAAUGUGAAGGAUUGCAAGAGGAUAAAGCGGCCAAGGUUCCUCGGAAGAACUCGAAGAAGGUGACCGUGA